GCUCCCUGGUCGAUCCUGCCAGUAGUCAUAUGCUUGUCUCAAAGAUUAAGCCAUGCAAGUCUAAGUACGAGCUUGAACAAAGUGAAACCGCGAAUGUCUCAGUAUAUCAGUCAUGGUUGAUUGGACGAUAAACGGUUACUUGGAUAACUGUGGCAAUUCUAGAGCUAAUACAUGCAAUCAAGUCCCGACCGGAGACGGAAAGGACGCACUUAUUAGAUCAAAGCCGACCGGGCGGAGGGUCCCCGAGUGUACCCACUGCGGCACUCGCCCCUCCUGUCCCGCUUGCGUUCUUGGUGACUCUGAAUAAUUGUGGAUCGCACGGCCCACGAGCCGGCGACGUGUCUUUCAAAUGUCUGACCCAUCAACUGUCGAUGGUAGGUUCUGCGCCUACCAUGGUAGUGACGGGUGACGGGGAAUCAGGGUUCGAUUCCGGAGAGGGAGCCUGAGAAACGGCUACCACAUCCAAGGAAGGUAGCUGGCACGCAAAUUACCCACUCCCGGCACGGGGAGGUAGUGACGAAAAAUAACGAUACGGGACUCAUCCGAGGCCCCGUAAUCGGAAUGAGGACACUUUAAAUCCUUUAUCGAGUAUCCAUUGGAGGGCAAGUCUGGUGCCAGCAGCUGCGGUAAUUCCAGCUCCAAUAGCGUAUAUUAAAGUUGUUGCGGUUAAAAAGCUCGUAGUCGGACUUGUGUCCCGCCGUGUCGGUACACCGCACGUCGGUGUCUAACUGGCAUGCAGGCGAGGACGUCCUGACGGUGGUCGCGCCCGCCCGGGUUGCGCACGUCGACUCUUUAACCCCUUUAGCGCGGGUCGCACGACUUCCGUUGCGAAGGGAAAAGAGCGGCAGCGUUUCUCCGGAGCGGCCGGCCUGGUCUCCGCAUCCUCUCGAGGUGCUCUUGACCGAGUGUCUAGAGGGGCCGUCACGUUUACUUUGAACAAAUUAGAGUGCUCAAAGCAGGCUUACAACACGCCUGGAUACCAGUGCAUGGAAUAAUGGAAAAGGACCUCGGUUCUAUUUUGUUGGUUUUCUGAAUCCCCGAGGUAAUGAUCAAUAGGAACAGACGGGGGCAUUCGUAUUGCGACGUUAGAGGUGAAAUUCUUGGAUCGUCGCAAGACGCACAGAAGCGAAAGCAUUUGCCAAGCAUGUUUUCUCUGAUCAAGAACGAAAGUCAGAGGUUCGAAGGCGAUCAGAUACCGCCCUAGUUCUGACCAUAAACGAUGCCAGCCAGCAAUCCGCCGAAGUUCCUCCGAUGACUCGGCGGGCGGCUUCCGGGAAACCAAAGCUUACGGGUUCCGGGGGAAGUAUGGUUGCAAAGCUGAAACUUAAAGGAAUUGACGGAAGGGCACCACCAGGAGUGGAGCCUGCGGCUUAAUUUGACUCAACACGGGAAAACUCACCAAGCCCUGACACCGGAAUGAUUGACAGAUUGAGAGCUCUUUCUUGAUUCGGUGGGUGGUGGUGCAUGGCCGUUCUUAGUUCGUGGGACGACUUGUCUGGUUAAUUCCGUUAACGAACGAGACUCUAACCUGCUAAAUAGUCGAUGACUGGCAUCCUUCGCGCUGCCGGCGAGGAUGAAAUCUUCUUAGAGGGACAAGCGGCGUCCAGCCGCGCUACAAAGAGCAAUAACAGGUCUGUGAUGCCCUUAGAUGUCUUGGGCUGCACGCGCGCUACACUGAAGGAACCAGCGUGUCUUCCCUGGCCGAAAGGUCCGGGCAACCCGUUGAACCUCCUUCGUGAUAGGGAUUGGGGCUUGCAAUUGUUCCCCAUGAACGAGGAAUUCCCAGUAGGCGCGAGUCAUAAGCUCGCGUCGAUUAAGUCCCUGCCCUUUGUACACACCGCCCGUCGCUACUACCGAUUGAAUGGUUUAGUGAGGCCUUCGGACCGGCGAACGCAGGCGUGCCUACGGGCCCGUCGCGACUCUGUCGGAAAGAUGGCCGAACUUGCCCAUUUAGAGGAAGUAAAAGUCGUAACAAGGUUGCCGUAGGUGAACCUGCGGCAGGACCAUUA
rnacentral:rRNA from 1 species